AUCCUCACCCGUGUGCGGAAAAAUCUCCUUGGUCACGCGACUUGCGUGCACGGUCUUGGCCAGGCUGAAGUCCGAGCGAUUUGCUAUCUUCGGGCACGUCAGGUGGACAGACGGUCAGCGUCAAUUUUGUGUCGUACGGUGGCCCGUCACUGUGUGUUCUUUCUACGCGGAUCGUUUAUUGGGCGGCGCCGUUUUCCGUCGUGCACACGCACUUAUGCGACGCGCUGCUGCCUAAACUUAGCCGCAGCGAUCCAGAAUGCGAAAGUGGCCGCGGCACUCACGACCAGAUCCCUCUAGAGACUUAAAAGCGACUGCCAAUGCACCGAACACCGUCGACACCUAGUGUCCCUUUCGCCCGGGCGACACAAGAUGGAUUUUUUGCUGUUCGACUUGGCAGAGUAUUUCGUCUCGAUCAGAACUAUGAGGAAUGGUCCAAAUAAUAGGAUGCCAAGAAAGUGUUCGGUCGCGCUUCCGCGAUAUUUUUAUUGGUCGACUCGGUUGGGCUUCUUGAGCUGUCAGUAUUGAUGUAAGUUUUCCUGCUAAAGUGUUUAGAAAAUAUACCUCUUUCGCUGUUCAUGUUUAGAUAGAAAAUAUAUGCUUGAGAUAGUGCUGUAUCUAAAAAUAUAUUUCCUAUUAAGAACUGAAUUUUCUAUUUGUGUUCUAAAGAGAAAUACGCUAUCUGUUUGACGAAAAUAUAAUUAGUCAUUUCUAGGAGAAGGUAAUCUAUCCACCCGCCUCUAAUAUUAGCAACGCCACGAUAUAUGUUGUAUUUGCGUGAUACAAAUGUAUGUAUGAUACAACCAAUCUUUAUUUCUACUACAGAAAUGAAUCAAACAAAAAUGAGAUAAUAAAAAAAUUAAAUUGAUUUUGUUUAAAUAAAGAGAAUUGAACAAUGUGCAUUCAACAUUGUUCAAUCAUUUGUUGCAUUUUUUCAACCGACGAGGACAGGAGCACAGGAUAGUAAACUGCAAAACCAGAAAACAGUCAACGACGUCAAUGAUGACAAGAAUUAUGCACGGCAUCCGUAUGCACGUCUUUGAUCGUUGCCACUCGAAAUGAAGCAACCUCUUCCGCGGCACCAAAUUUAGAAACCGAAAAGGUCAGUCGCCAAGUCACGCGGCAGACGGAAAACGGAUCGCCUCGAAAUUUCUCGGUUGUAUCCUUUUGUCCUCCCAUAAGACCCUACCGUCGGACCAGGGUAGCUCAGAUGUACGUCGGAUAGUGUCGCCAUUUUGACUCCAGUGGCAUGUAAAUCGGUGGCAUGUAAGCUGCCAUUUUUUGGCCUUUAUU